UUAAGCGACUAAGCGUACACGGUGGAUGCCCUGGCAGUCAGAGGCGAUGAAGGACGUGCUAAUCUGCGAAAAGCGUCGGUAAGGUGAUAUGAACCGUUAUAACCGGCGAUGUCCGAAUGGGGAAACCCAGUGCAAUUCGUUGCACUAUCGUUAACUGAAUACAUAGGUUAACGAGGCGAACCGGGGGAACUGAAACAUCUAAGUACCCCGAGGAAAAGAAAUCAACCGAGAUUCCCCCAGUAGCGGCGAGCGAACGGGGAGCAGCCCAGAGUCUGAAUCAGCUUGUGUGUUAGUGGAACGGUCUGGAAAGUCCGACGGUACAGGGUGAUAGUCCCGUACACCAAAAUGCACAGGCUGUGAACUCGAAGAGUAGGGCGGGACACGUGGUAUCCUGUCUGAAUAUGGGGGGACCAUCCUCCAAGGCUAAAUACUCCUGACUGACCGAUAGUGAACCAGUACCGUGAGGGAAAGGCGAAAAGAACCCCGGCGAGGGGAGUGAAAAAGAACCUGAAACCGUGUACGUACAAGCAGUGGGAGCACCUUCGGGUGUGACUGCGUACCUUUUGUAUAAUGGGUCAGCGACUUAUAUUCUGUAGCAAGGUUAACCGUAUAGGGGAGCCGCAGGGAAACCGAGUCUUAACUGGGCGUUAAGUUGCAGGGUAUAGACCCGAAACCCGGUGAUCUAGCCAUGGGCAGGUUGAAGGUUGGGUAACACUAACUGGAGGACCGAACCGACUAAUGUUGAAAAUUAGCGGAUGACUUGUGGCUGGGGGUGAAAGGCCAAUCAAACCGGGAGAUAGCUGGUUCUCCCCGAAAGCUAUUUAGGUAGCGCCUCGUGAAUUCAUCUUCGGGGGUAGAGCACUGUUUCGGCUAGGGGGUCAUCCCGACUUACCAACCCGAUGCAAACUACGAAUACCGAAGAAUGUUAUCACGGGAGACACACGGCGGGUGCUAACGUCCGUCGUGAAGAGGGAAACAACCCAGACCGCCAGCUAAGGUCCCAAAGUCAUGGUUAAGUGGGAAACGAUGUGGGAAGGCACAGACAGCCAGGAUGUUGGCUUAGAAGCAGCCAUCAUUUAAAGAAAGCGUAAUAGCUCACUGGUCGAGUCGGCCUGCGCGGAAGAUGUAACGGGGCUAAACCAUGCACCGAAGCUGCGGCAGCGACACUAUGUGUUGUUGGGUAGGGGAGCGUUCUGUAAGCCUGCGAAGGUGACCUGUGAGGGUUGCUGGAGGUAUCAGAAGUGCGAAUGCUGACAUAAGUAACGAUAAAGCGGGUGAAAAGCCCGCUCGCCGGAAGACCAAGGGUUCCUGUCCAACGUUAAUCGGGGCAGGGUGAGUCGACCCCUAAGGCGAGGCCGAAAGGCGUAGUCGAUGGGAAACAGGUUAAUAUUCCUGUACUUGGUGUUACUGCGAAGGGGGGACGGAGAAGGCUAUGUUAGCCGGGCGACGGUUGUCCCGGUUUAAGCAUGUAGGCUGGUUAUCCAGGCAAAUCCGGAUAAUCAAGGCUGAGGUGUGAUGACGAGGCACUACGGUGCUGAAGUAACAAAUGCCCUGCUUCCAGGAAAAGCCUCUAAGCAUCAGGUAACAUCAAAUCGUACCCCAAACCGACACAGGUGGUCAGGUAGAGAAUACCAAGGCGCUUGAGAGAACUCGGGUGAAGGAACUAGGCAAAAUGGUGCCGUAACUUCGGGAGAAGGCACGCUGGUGUGUAGGUGAAGCCCCUGCGGGUGGAGCUGAGACCAGUCGAAGAUACCAGCUGGCUGCAACUGUUUAUUAAAAACACAGCACUGUGCAAACACGAAAGUGGACGUAUACGGUGUGACGCCUGCCCGGUGCCGGAAGGUUAAUUGAUGGGGUUAUCCGUAAGGAGAAGCUCUUGAUCGAAGCCCCGGUAAACGGCGGCCGUAACUAUAACGGUCCUAAGGUAGCGAAAUUCCUUGUCGGGUAAGUUCCGACCUGCACGAAUGGCGUAAUGAUGGCCAGGCUGUCUCCACCCGAGACUCAGUGAAAUUGAACUCGCUGUGAAGAUGCAGUGUACCCGCGGCAAGACGGAAAGACCCCGUGAACCUUUACUAUAGCUUGACACUGAACAUUGAGCCUUGAUGUGUAGGAUAGGUGGGAGGCUUUGAAGCGUGGACGCCAGUCUGCGUGGAGCCAACCUUGAAAUACCACCCUUUAAUGUUUGAUGUUCUAACGUUGGCCCCUGACCGGGGUUGCGGACAGUGUCUGGUGGGUAGUUUGACUGGGGCGGUCUCCUCCCAAAGCGUAACGGAGGAGCACGAAGGUUAGCUAAUCCUGGUCGGACAUCAGGAGGUUAGUGCAAUGGCAUAAGCUAGCUUGACUGCGAGCGUGACGGCGCGAGCAGGUGCGAAAGCAGGUCAUAGUGAUCCGGUGGUUCUGAAUGGAAGGGCCAUCGCUCAACGGAUAAAAGGUACUCCGGGGAUAACAGGCUGAUACCGCCCAAGAGUUCAUAUCGACGGCGGUGUUUGGCACCUCGAUGUCGGCUCAUCACAUCCUGGGGCUGAAGUAGGUCCCAAGGGUAUGGCUGUUCGCCAUUUAAAGUGGUACGCGAGCUGGGUUUAGAACGUCGUGAGACAGUUCGGUCCCUAUCUGCCGUGGGCGCUGGAGAAUUGAGGGGGGCUGCUCCUAGUACGAGAGGACCGGAGUGGACGCAUCACUGGUGUUCGGGUUGUCAUGCCAAUGGCACUGCCCGGUAGCUAAAUGCGGAAGAGAUAAGUGCUGAAAGCAUCUAAGCACGAAACUUGCCCCGAGAUGAGUUCUCCCUGAGACUUUAAGUCUCCUGAAGGAACGUUAAAGACGAUGACGUUGAUAGGCCGGGUGUGUAAGCGCAGCGAUGCGUUGAGCUAACCGGUACUAAUGAACCGUGAGGCUUAACCUU
rnacentral:rRNA from 1 species